rnacentral:rRNA from 1 species
AAUGAACGCUGGCGGCAGGCCUAACACAUGCAAGUCGAACGGAUCCUUCGGGAUUAGUGGCGGACGGGUGAGUAACGCGUGGGAACGUACCCCUUUCUUCGGAAUAGCCUCGGGAAACUGGGAGUAAUACCGGAUAAGCCCUAUUGGGGAAAGAUUUAUCGGGAAGGGAUCGGCCCGCGUUGGAUUAGGUAGUUGGUGGGGUAAUGGCCUACCAAGCCGACGAUCCAUAGCUGGUUUGAGAGGAUGAUCAGCCACACUGGGACUGAGACACGGCCCAGACUCCUACGGGAGGCAGCAGUGGGGAAUCUUAGACAAUGGGGGAAACCCUGAUCUAGCCAUGCCGCGUGAUCGAUGAAGGCCUUAGGGUUGUAAAGAUCUUUCAGUGGGGAAGAUAAUGACGGUACCCACAGAAGAAGCCCCGGCUAACUCCGUGCCAGCAGCCGCGG